GAUUAACGCUGGCGGCGUGCCUAACACAUGCAAGUCGAGCGGCAGCGCGGGAGCAAUCCUGGCGGCGAGCGGCGGACGGGUGAGUAAUGCUUGGGAAUCUGCCUGUUAGUGGGGGACAACCCGGGGAAACUCGGGCUAAUACCGCAUACGCACUACGGUGGAAAGCCGGGGACCGCAAGGCCUGGCGCUAACAGAUGAGCCCAAGUCGGAUUAGCUAGUUGGUAGGGUAACGCCUACCAAGGCGACGAUCCGUAACUGGUCUGAGAGGACGACCAGUCACACCGGAACUGAGACACGGUCCGGACUCCUACGGGAGGCAGCA
rnacentral:rRNA from 1 species